UAGUCCCACUGAUGGUAAAAUGAAAGCUUACGUCAGCCUCAGUUAUCAUGACACUGAGUUUACCAUGUUUUUCUAGGCUCUAUUGUUGACUUUAUGUAGAUGUUUUGUGCACAGUUAUGGAACAAGUUCUGUCUUUUUUGAACAGGUUAGUUGUGGGCGAGUUGUGUGUUUCAGUCCAUCUGCACAUGCAUCCUAGCCGAGCUCCAGCUCGUCUGACGCCGUAACAACGCUUUGUUUACAAGGGAUUCUGCUGGAGGAGCGAAGUUAAAGUCAAACGAUUCUUUCUCAGAUAUUAUCCACCAGGUAUCAUCCUGGAAUAUGAAAAAGGAGGAGCUUUGAAGACUAAAUUCAUUGAUUUGUUGGAUUUGUCUCCAGUACAGAAGAACCAGGACCUCCGGGAGGUGUUCAGCAAGGCCUUAUGACUGCAGGAUUGACCUUCUCCCUAGCACGACUCCGCUCCGAGGUUGACUGUACUGUCUGUCGGGACCAGAGACCAAGGCGAUGGAGACCUACAUUUGCGGACUCCCUUGCUGCAGGAUUCAUCCAUCCUUCUUCUUCUCCCGUCCGUGCAGGGUUCUUCUUUGUGGAGAAGAAAGACAAGACCUGCGCCCGUGGACCUGCACCCGUGGAUCGACUACCGGGGUCUCAAUGACAUAACGAUUAAGAUCCGCUACUCACUACCACUCAUCUCCUCGGCCUUCGAGCCGCUCCAGGGGGCCAUCAUGUUUUCCAAGCUGGAUCUACGGAACGCCUAUCACCUGGUGCAGAUACGGGAAGGGGACGAGUGGCAGACCGCCUUCAACACGGCCAGUGGUCACUACGAGUAUCUGGUCAUGCCAUUUGGCCUUACCAACGUCCUUGCUGUGUUCCAGGCUCUGGUCAAUGAUGUUCUACCUAGAUGACAUCCUCAUCUUCUCCCGUUCCACUCAAGAACAUGUGCUUCAUGACAGGUUCUCCAAUGCAUCCUGGAGGCUGUUUAAAUUUUUGUUUUGUUUUAAUUGAAUUCCCCACCCCCAUUCCCCACCCUCAUUCCCCACCCCCAUUCCCCACUCCAAUUCCCCACCCCCAUUCCCCACCCUCAUUCCCCACUC